GACGAACGCUGGCGGCGUGCCUAAUACAUGCAAGUAGAACGCUGAAGGAGGAGCUUGCUUCUCUGGAUGAGUUGCGAACGGGUGAGUAACGCGUAGGUAACCUGCCUGGUAGCGGGGGAUAACUAUUGGAAACGAUAGCUAAUACCGCAUAAGAGUAGAUGUUGCAUGACAUUUGCUUAAAAGGUGCAAUUGCAUCACUACCAGAUGGACCUGCGUUGUAUUAGCUAGUUGGUGGGGUAACGGCCCACCAAGGCGACGAUACAUAGCCGACCUGAGAGGGUGAUCGGCCACACUGGGACUGAGACACGGCCCAGACUCCUACGGGAGGCAGCAGUAGGGAAUCUUCGGCAAUGGACGGAAGUCUGACCGAGCAACGCCGCGUGAGUGAAGAAGGUUUUCGGAUCGUAAAGCUCUGUUGUAAGAGAAGAACGAGUGUGAGAGUGGAAAGUUCACACUGUGACGGUAUCUACCAGA
rnacentral:rRNA from 1 species